GUGGGGAAUAUUGGACAAUGGGGGGAACCCUGAUCCAGCCAUGCCGCGUGUGUGAAGAAGGCCUUAUGGUUGUAAAGCACUUUAAGCGAGGAGGAGGGUACUGGUAUUAAUACUACCAGCUACUGGACGUUACUCGCAGAAUAAGCACCGGCUAACUCUGUGCCAGCAGCCGCGGUAAUACAGAGGGUGCGAGCGUUAAUCGGAUUUACUGGGCGUAAAGCGUGCGUAGGCGGCUAAUUGAGUCGGAUGUGAAAUCCCCGAGCUUAACUUGGGAAUUGCAUUCGAUACUGGUUAGCUAGAGUGUGGGAGAGGAUGGUAGAAUUCCAGGUGUAGCGGUGAAAUGCGUAGAGAUCUGGAGGAAUACCGAUGGCGAAGGCAGCCAUCUGGCCUAACACUGACGCUGAGGUACGAAAGCAUGGGGAGCAAACAGGAUUAGAAACCCUUGUAGUCC
rnacentral:rRNA from 1 species